UUUUAUUUUUUAUUUAUAGGUAUUUAUAAACAAAGUAAAAAUAGAAAGGCUUGGAUGUCCCAGUGAGUAUUCCUUUCUCUAUUUUUGUUCUUCAUUUUGUGAAUUCCUCCAUGCUAACAUGUUACCUUUUACUUACAUUGACUUUGUAUUACUUGGGAUAAAUAUUUGUUCUUAUGCAUAAUAAGUGAAGCUUUAACUUUGUAAUAACUACAUUUUAAUUUCGUUUCAAUUUCAUAUAACCAUUUUGUGUGUAGAAUUGAUGAUUUUAAACUGCUUAUGAAAGUAAGAGACCUCCCAUCAAAUAGAUCUAUGUGAGGAAAGGUAGGCCGUAGGUGAGUAACAGGGGAUCAUAAUCUCUGAGAGACAGUAUACUAACUAACUGUAAUAAUUAGUUAGUUAUACAAUAGAGAGUAUAAAAGGAGAUAAAGAGGGUGGGUUAGGGGUAGUAGGUAUGGAGUCCCAUUUAGUGGGUAAUUGUGGGUGAGGCCUUGAUCUCUCAUGUAUCCAUGGAAAUUACAUUCUUUGUGUACAGUGCUAUAUUCUUAUAAUGUUCUACAUUGGAGCAGCAUGCUGCUUAUUGGUUGAUUUAUUCCAGGUAUGUACUUCAGAAGAUUCAUGUAGAUUUGGAUGAAUUAGUGAGUUUUAUGGGUAUGACAAAUUCAAUAGGGUCCCUGCGGAUAUUCAGAUUGGGGAGACAAUUGCUGAUAAAGUAUCUGGGAAGCCACUACCUUCCUUCAAGGUGGAAGAACCGACAGUGAAAAUGUCUAUCUCUAUAAACACUUCACCUUUUGUUGGCUGCGAGGGGAAGUAUGUUACUAGUAGGAAUUUAAGAACAGGCUUUAUCGUGAACUUGAGCGUAAUCUGGUCAUGAAAGUUGAAGAUGGUGAAACAACAGAUGCAUUCGUUGUCAGUGGAUGUGGAACUUUGCAUAUCACCAUACUCAUAGAAGACAUGCAAAGAGAAGGAUAUGAAUUCAUGGUUGGACCCCCCAAAGUUAUCAAGAAGAAGGUGAUUGAACAACUGUUGAACCGUAUGAGGUAAUUUUUCAUUCAAUUUUUUAUGGCUAUUUAAAAGCAAAAAAUAAAAAGGUGAUAUGACAACACAUGUCUUAAAGAGUCUAAUUUGACAGACCUUGAAAUGUAGUUAUUUUCCUGUAGAACUGACAUGCUUAUUCAAGACUAAAAACACUGGAUCAAUUAUCAUGAUUAUGGAAAUAGAUGCCUGACUUUGAGGGGAAAAGUUAAGGGGAAAAGUUAAGGUAACUUUAUACAUUUAAAUUAUUGGAUUUGUAAUAGUAAAUCAGAUUGUGACACGUGUAUAUUUAAAUUAAAAUAUAUUUUAUACACGUGUCACAAUCUGAUCUAUUAUUACAAAUUCAAUGAUUGAGAUGUGUUAAAUUACCAUAACAUUAAUAUUUCAAAGUCGGAGGAUCCGGAUCGCAUGAUUAUCCGCUUAAUUUUAUGCUGUGUCCUGUUACAUGAAGGUUGGUCUGACACUAAAUAUUCCUAUGCUCAUCUAAUAUCUAUUAUGUAAGUGAAUGCACAGAGUCUCAUGUUUUUGUCUUGGGAAAAGCACAAGAAGAAUCCUGGAAAUUUGUGAGAGCCAUUUUUAUACUUUUCUUUUUCAAGAUUUACUUUCCUAAAAAAUAGCUUUUAAUUACCUUUUACUUGCAAAAUCAGCAUUGUUAGUUAUACAAAGAUGAUGUCAUAUAUAAGAAAUCUCUAUUCAUUUUUUUAUUUAUUUAUAUUUUCUUGUACAUAUGUCUGUGUGACUUGAACAUGAAUAUUCUGAUCAAUAAUUAGAACUUUUUUCUUUAUA